rnacentral:precursor_RNA from 9 species
AAAAAAACCUGAAAUUAUCGAUUAUUCGCAGCCUAAAAUUGACCGAUGAGAUUUGUAUUUGAAUAUUUCAUCAGGCCAAUUUUAGUCUUCGAUGAACGAUUUUCAUUCCUCUUACGCCA